rnacentral:rRNA from 1 species
GACGAAGGAUGCAAGCGUUAUCCGGAUUCAUUGGGUUUAAAGGGAGCGUAGGCGGUCCUGUAAGUCAGUGGUGAAAUCUCUCGGCUUAACCGAGAAAUUGCCAUUGAUACUGCAGAACUUGAGUACAGUUGCCGUUGGCGGAAUAUGACAUGUAGUGGUGAAAUACAUAGAGAUGUCAUAGAACACCGAUUGCGAAGGCAGCUAACGAAACUGUAACUGACGCUGAGGCUCGAAAGUGCGGGGAUCAAACAGG